GACUUUAUAUGGCUGCUCCUGGCGAGCGACUGAGUCGUCCGUGAGGAAAAAGAGGCGAGGCUUUUCCGAGAUCGUCUCAGCGAUGGCGCUUCGGUCGCGGUUUUGGGGGUUGUUCUCGGUUUGCAGGAACCCUGGGUGCAGGUUCGCAGCCCUGUCAACCAGCUCCGAGCCGGCAGCGAAACCUGAAGUGGACCCUGUGGAAAAUGAAGCUGUCGCCCCAGAAUUCACCAACCGGAACCCCCGGAACCUGGAGCUUUUAUCUGUAGCCAGGAAAGAGCGGGGCUGGCGGACGGUGUUUCCCUCCCGUGAGUUCUGGCACAGGUAAUUAAAUCUGCUUGUGAUUGACAAGGGCAGUGCACCCUACAGACUAUUUUCAUUCAUUCAACUCCAGGCACUCUCCCAGGUAGCUGCCAUGCGGCGGGUAGAGGCAGGGUUCGCGGAGGGGCUGGAACAAACAACAAAUAGGUGUGAUGGGGGCUAUUUAAAGAGGAUGUUACAGUAGCGGACAGGAUACCUGCCUGUCUGAGGUGACAUUUAAGAAGGUGAGAUCUGAAAGAGGAAGAAGCCUAGUCAUCUGCCAGAAAGAGCAGUCCUAGCAAAGGAAACUGCUGGGGUGAGGAACUGAAGGGCUUGUGGAUCUGAAGCUCAAUGGGCAGAGGAUGAAUGGCCCAAGAUGAACAUGGAGGGGUAAGGAGGCGACAGAUGAUUAGCUUUGUAAGUCAAGAUGAGCACUUUAGACUUUCUUUUCAUUAUAGUGGGAAACUACGAGAGGAUUUAAAGCUUGAGCCCGAAUUGGUUUUUCAAGAUCAUUCUGGCUGGGCGCAUUGUCUCAUGCCUGUAAUCCCAGCACUUUAGGGAGCCAGCCGAAGAAGCCGGAUCAUCUGAGGUCAGGAGUUUGAGACCAACCUGGCCAACAUGGUGAAACCC
rnacentral:lncRNA from 10 species